UACGUAGGGGGCAAGCGUUGUCCGGAUUUAUUGGGCGUAAAGAGCGUGUAGGCGGCCAGACAGGUCCGUUGUGAAAGCUCGAGGCUCAACCUCGAGAUGUCGAUGGAAACCGUCUGGCUAGAGUCCGGAAGAGGAGUGUGGAAUUCCUGGUGUAGCGGUGAAAUGCGCAGAUAUCAGGAAGAACACCUAUGGCGAAGGCAGCACUCUGGGACGGUACUGACGCUGAGACGCGAAAGCGUGGGGAGCGAACAGG
rnacentral:rRNA from 1 species